CGCCGCGUGGAGGAUGAAAUAUCUUGGUAUGUAAACUACCUUUCGUAGUGGGGAAGAUAAUGACGGUACCCAUAGAAGAAGCCCCGGCUAACUUCGUGC
rnacentral:rRNA from 1 species